CGGCCACACUGGGACUGAGACACGGCCCAGACUCCUACGGGAGGCAGCAGUAGGGAAUCUUCCGCAAUGGACGAAAGUCUGACGGAGCAACGCCGCGUGAGCGAAGAAGGCCUUCGGGUCGUAAAGCUCUGUUGUUAGGGAAGAACAGGUAACGUAGUAACUGGCGUUACUGUGACGGUACCUAACGAGAAAGCCACGGCUAACUACGUGCCAGCAGCCGCGGUAAUACGUAGGUGGCAAGCGUUGUCCGGAAUUAUU
rnacentral:rRNA from 1 species